GUAUGGUUAAGUGACUAAGCGUACAGGGCGGAUGCCUUGGCAAUCAGAGGCGAUGAAGGACGUGCUAAUCUGCGAAAAGCUUGGAUGAGUCGAUAAGAGGCGUUUAAUCCAAGAUGUCCGAAUGGGGAAACCCAGUAGAUGAAGAAUCUACUAUCAAUAAAUGAAUACAUAGUUUAUUGAGGCGAACCGGGAGAACUGAAACAUCUAAGUACCCCGAGGAAAAGAAAUCAACCGAGAUUCUGUGAGUAGCGG
rnacentral:rRNA from 1 species